CACUUAGCACCAUUGCCCCCAGGAGCUGAGCUUUCCUCCUGUGCUCUUGGUUCCCCCCUCCAGCACCAUGACUGCCUUCCUCUGCCCCCUGCUCCUCUUGGUCCUGGCUCCAGGUGUGCAGUCCCAGCUCCAGCUCCAGGAGUCUGGCCCAGGGGUGGUGAAGCCGGGGGAGACCCUCAGCCUGACCUGCACCGUCACUGGUGGCACCUUCAGCAGCAGCUAUUGGUGGAACUGGAUCCGCCAAGCUCCUGGCAAAGGCCUGGAGUGGAUGGGAAGAUGGGAUGGCAGCGCAAACUACAAUCCACCCUUCCAGGGCAGAAUCACCAUCUCUGGGGACUUCUCCAGCAGGAAGUACCACCUGCAGCUCAGCUCCCUGACAUCUGCAGACACUGCCAUGUAUUACAUCGAGGUUGCAUCGCUGUGA